rnacentral:rRNA from 1 species
AUUGAACGCUGGCGGCAGGCCUAACACAUGCAAGUCGAGCGAGCGGCGGACGGUUGAGUAAUGUAUGGGGACUGCCCGAUAGAGGGGGAUAACUACUGGAUACGGUAGCUAAUACCGCAUACUAUCGGAUAACCCAUAUGGGAUUAGCUAGUAGAUGAGGUAAUGGCUCACCUAGGCGACUAUCCCUAGCUGGUCUGAGAGGAUGAUCAGCCACACUGCGAUGGGGACACGGCCCAGACUCCGGCGGAGGCAGCAGUGGGGAAUAUUGCACAUUGGGAGCAAGGCUGAUGCAGCCACUCCGCGUGUAUGUAGAAGGCCUCAGGGUUGUAAAAUACGUGCAGCCGGGAGGCGUUACCGACAGAAGAAGCACCGGCUAAGUCCGUGACAGGAGCCGCGGUAAUUC